AUUGAACGCUGGCGGCAGGCUUAACACAUGCAAGUCGAACGAUGAAGAUAUAGCUUGCUAUAUCGGAUUAGUGGCGGACGGGUGAGUAACACUUAGGAAUCUACCUUUUAGCGGGGGAUAGCUCGGGGAAACUCGAAUUAAUACCGCAUAAUUUCUACGGAAUAAAGAGGGCUUUUAGCUCUCACUAGAAGAUGAGCCUAAGUAAGAUUAGCUAGUUGGUGGGGUAAAAGCCUACCAAGGCGACGAUCUUUAGCUGGUCUGAGAGGAUGAUCAGCCACACUGGGACUGAGACACGGCCCAGACUCCUACGGGAGGCAGCAGUGGGGAAUAUUGGACAAUGGGGGCAACCCUGAUCCAGCCAUGCCGCGUGUGUGAAGGAGGCCUUUUGGUUGUAAAGCACUUUAAGCAGUGAAGAAGACCUAUUGGUUAAUACCCAAUAGUGAUGACAUUAACUGCAGAAUAAGCACCGGCUAACUCUGUGCCAGCAGCCGCGGUAAUACAGAGGGUGCAAGCGUUAAUCGGAAUUACUGGGCGUAAAGCGAGCGUAGGUGGUUAAAUAAGUCAGAUGUGAAAGCCCUGGGCUCAACCUAGGAACGGCAUCUGAAACUAUUUAACUAGAGUAGGUGAGAGGGAAGUAGAAUUUCAGGUGUAGCGGUGAAAUGCGUAGAGAUCUGAAGGAAUACCGAUGGCGAAGCAGCUUCCUGGCAUCAUACUGACACUGAGGCUCGAAAGCGUGGGUAGCAAACAGG
rnacentral:rRNA from 1 species